AUUGAACGCUGGCGGCAGGCCUAACACAUGCAAGUCGAGCGGAUGAAGGGAGCUUGCUCCUGGAUUCAGCGGCGGACGGGUGAGUAAUGCCUAGGAAUCUGCCUGGUAGUGGGGGAUAACGUCCGGAAACGGGCGCUAAUACCGCAUACGUCCUGAGGGAGAAAGUGGGGGAUCUUCGGACCUCACGCUAUCAGAUGAGCCUAGGUCGGAUUAGCUAGUUGGUGGGGUAAAGGCCUACCAAGGCGACGAUCCGUAACUGGUCUGAGAGGAUGAUCAGUCGCACUGGAACUGAGACACGGUCCAGACUCCUACGGGAGGCAGCAGUGAGGAAUAUUGGACAAUGGGCGAAAGCCUGAUCCAGCCAUGCCGCGUGUGUGAAGAAGGUCUUCGGAUUGUAAAGCACUUUAAGUUGGGAGGAAGGGCAGUAAGUUAAUACCUUGCUGUUUUGACGUUACCAACAGAAUAAGCACCGGCUAACUUCGUG
rnacentral:rRNA from 1 species